rnacentral:tRNA from 1 species
GCCUGGGUGGCUCAGUCGGUUGAGCAUCUGACUUCGGCUCAGGUCAUGAUCUCAACAUCCGUGAGUUCAAGCCCCGCAUCAGGCU